rnacentral:misc_RNA from 1 species
GUGACGAUAGAUGUGGAUCCACAGGCGUUCAAGAGGGCCUUUCUAAAGUUCGCAAAGGUGAUCAAUGAGAACCCAAGCUUAGUGAAGAACCUUCUGGAGAAUGGGAAGCAUGGACCUAUAACAUGUGUUGUCUGUGACAGGUCUUCUAAAGAAUUCACAGAUGUACAUUCGCUCGUCGUGCAUACAUACAAUGCACAGAAUGCAGAAAUGCGUGUUGAUCAUCUUGGGUUACACAAGGCAUUGUGUGUGCUUAUGGGGUGGAACUAUGCCAAGGUACCUGAAAAUACUAAGGCAUACCAUGCAUUGCCUGCUGAUGAUGUAGC